rnacentral:rRNA from 1 species
AACGAACGCUGGCGGCAUGCCUAACACAUGCAAGUCGAACGAGACCUUCGGGUCUAGUGGCGCACGGGUGCGUAACGCGUGGGAACCUGCCCUUAGGUUCGGAAUACCUCCCCGAAAGGGGUGCUAAUACCGGAUAAUGUCUUCGGACCAAAGAUGUAUCGCCUUUGGAUGGGCCCGCGUUGGAUUAGCUAGUUGGUAGGGUAAAAGCCUAGCAAGGCGACGAUCCAUAGCUGGUCUGUGAGGAUGAUCAGCCACACUGGGGCUGAGACACGGCCCAGACUCCUACGGAAGGCAGCAGUGGGGAAUAUUGGACAAUGGGGGAAAGCCUGAUCCAGCAAUGCCGCGUGAGUGAUGAAGGCCUUAGGGUUGUAAAGCUGUUUUACACGGGAUGAUAAUGACAGUACCGGGAGAAUAAGCACCGGCUAACUCCGUG